CCUACGGGGGGCUGCAGUGGGGAAUAUUGGACAAUGGGGGGAACCCUGAUCCAGCCAUGCCGCGUGUGUGAAGAAGGCCCUCGGGUUGUAAAGCACUUUCAGUGAGGAAGAACGCCUGGUGGUUAAUACCCAUCAGGAAAGACAUCACUCACAGAAGAAGCACCGGCUAACUCCGUGCCAGCAGCCGCGGUAAUACGGAGGGUGCGAGCGUUAAUCGGAAUUACUGGGCGUAAAGCGCGCGUAGGUGCUUGAUAAGCCGGUUGUGAAAGCCCCGGGCUCAACCUGGGAACGGCAUCCGGAACUGUCAAGCUAGAGUGCAGGAGAGGAAGGUAGAAUUCCCGGUGUAGCGGUGAAAUGCGUAGAGAUCGGGAGGAAUACCAGUGGCGAAGGCGGCCUUCUGGACUGACACUGACACUGAGGUGCGAAAGCGUGGGUAGCAAACAGGAUUAGAUACCCGGGUAGUC
rnacentral:rRNA from 1 species